UUAAAUUGAAGAGUUUGAUCAUGGCUCAGAUUGAACGCUGGCGGCAGGCUUAACACAUGCAAGUCGAACGGUAACAUGAGUGCUUGCACUUGAUGACGAGUGGCGGACGGGUGAGUAAUGUAUGGGGAUCUGCCGAAUGGAAGGGGACAACAGUUGGAAACGACUGCUAAUACCGUAUAAAGUUGAGAGACCAAAGCAUGGGACCUACGGGCCAUGCGCCAUUUGAUGAACCCAUAUGGGAUUAGCUAGUAGGUGAGGUAAUGGCUCACCUAGGCGACGAUCUCUAGCUGGUCUGAGAGGAUGACCAGCCACACUGGAACUGAGACACGGUCCAGACUCCUACGGGAGGCAGCAGUGGGGAAUAUUGCACAAUGGGGGGAACCCUGAUGCAGCCAUGCCGCGUGUAUGAAGAAGGCCUUCGGGUUGUAAAGUACUUUCGGUGAUGAGGAAGGUAGUGUAUCUAAUAGGUGCACUAAUUGACGUUAAUUACAGAAGAAGCACCGGCUAACUCCGUGCCAGCAGCCGCGGUAAUACGGAGGGUGCGAGCGUUAAUCGGAAUGACUGGGCGUAAAGGGCAUGUAGGCGGAUAAUUAAGUUAGGUGUGAAAGCCCUGGGCUCAACCUAGGAAUUGCACUU
rnacentral:rRNA from 1 species